rnacentral:rRNA from 1 species
ACGUAGGUGGCGAGCGUUGUCCGGAUUUCCUGGGCGUAAAGGGAGCGUAGGCGGACUUUUAAGUGAGAUGUGAAGUACUCGGGCUCAACUUGAGUGCUGCAUUUCAAACUGGAAGUCUAGAGUGCAGGAGAGGAGAAUGGAAUUCCUAGUGUAGCGGUGAAAUGCGUAGAGAUUAGGAAGAACACCAGUGGCGAAGGCGAUUCUCUGGACUGUAACUGACGCUGAGGCUCGAAAGCGUGGGGAGCAAACAGG